rnacentral:rRNA from 1 species
AGAGUUGAUAUGGCUCAGGAUGAACGCUGGCGGCGUGCUUAAUACAUGCAAGUCGAACGGAGUUGUGAUGUGAGCGAGAGAAAGCUUGCUUUAAUCAAUCUUUCAUAACUUAGUGGCGGACGGGUGAGUAACGCGUGGGUAACCUGCCCUGUACAGGGGGAUAACGGCUGGAAACGGCCGCUAAAACCGCAUAACGUCGGAAUACCGCAUGAUGUUCCGGCCAAAUAUUUAUAGGUACAGGAUGGGCCCGCGUCUGAUUAGCUAGAUGGUGAGGUAACGGCCCACCAUGGCGACGAUCAGUAGCCGUACUGAGAGGUAGAACGGCCACAUUGGGACUGAGACACGGCCCAAACUCCUACGGGAGGCAGCAGUAGGGAAUAUUGGUCAAUGGGGGAAACCCUGAACCAGCGAACCGCCGCGUGAGUGAAGAAGUAUUUUGGUAUGUAAAGCUCUAUCAGCAGGGACGAUGAUGACGGUACCUGACUAAGAAGCCCCGGCUAACUACGUGCCAGCAGCAGC